UUUUUUUUUUUUUUUUUUGGUUUUUUGGCAAAAUCCAUUGUUCCUCUUUUCUGACGGUUCUUAUAAAGGCAAGGGUUUGGGUUUGCAUGGUUGUUUUUGUAUCAAUUGAUUGAUGGUUUAAGAAAUUUCAGCAGUUUUGCUAUAAAUUAUCCUUCCGCCGGUGUCCUUGGGAUUUGAUUUCGCCUUUCUGCUGAGAAAUUUGUUGUUAGAUGUAUAUAGUUGUAAUUGGCUUCUCUGUGCAAUACGAAUACUGAAUGUUGGGGUUUCUUGUUUAGCAAACUUAAAUUUUAGGGUUUAUUUUUAAGUUGAGACCUUUGCAAGUUGUUUAGGAAUGUUGUCUGCUCGAACUGAACAAUAUACUUGAUUCUUUUUUGUUUUUUUCACACAGACCUGGAUUUUCUCUUCUCAAUUUGGAGAGUCUAGGCAAGUACUCAUGCUUGAAUCUUUUAGUAUGGCUAUUGAAAGUUGCUUAAGAUUUUUUUUCCGCAUUGGUAGUUGUACCAUUAAUUAGAAUGCCACCUUGCAGCCUUUUGCUUUGUUCUGUAGUAUCUAACAUUUAGAUAUAAUUUGAAUAGCAAGCUCAAAUUAUAGUCUUUGCAACCUAGUAUCUAUGUUUUUUCCUCUUCUAUUGUUUGCAAGCAUAUGGUGUCUGAUUUUAACUAACUAUAGUCAGCUUACAUUGCUAGACAAAAUUGCCUUAAGAGCUCUUGUACGGAGCCAAGAGAAGCUGAAAAUUUUCAUUAUUCUGUAUGGAGGUUUUUUUGAUUGUUUAAAUGGUUUUGUGAUGGAUAACUUAAAGAUGCACGAUGAUCUAGCUAGGUCUUCAAUGGCAAACUUUCACAACCAUUUCAACUGAGUUGUCUCGAAACAUGCAUAGUAGUUAUUCAUUGAUAACACGAUUAGUUACUUCAUGGGUUUGAUUCAAUUAAUUGUUUGCCUGCCUCUAGUGCUUGUUGUGCUGACUAAAAUAUAAAAUUCCCUAGUAUGGGUAAAUGGUAAGCAAAUAGUGUUUGAAUUGUAAAUUAUUUGAGAUAAUUUUGUAAAAAAGUACUAUAGCAUUUUUUUGGUAUGAUGUAUGUGAUAUAAAAAAGUGAUUGAAAAAUGUGUUGAUGAUGCAAACAAAUCAGUGUGUGUAAAUAAGGUGUAAUAAAGUGGAAUAAUUGGCAAUCCAAACACUGAUUGUUAAGAAAUACUUAUUGUCCUUUUUCUUUACUAGUAAUUGACAUGUCAAAUUUUAAAUAGAUGUGUUCCUUGCCAAACUUUUGGGAGGCAAUGCAAUAUUCAUUACUGGAUUAGUUAAUCCCGCGGCAGAGUGUAGAAAUAGUUAUGUAUGAGUGAGAAGUUUUUUGGGUAAUAUAUGAAUAAAUAAUGGUAAAGUAGUGUUCAGGGCGCACGCUAAUGUGCGUGCAACUAAUAGGAAAUAUUAUUAAAAUUUUGAGGAAAUUUGUAUCAUUUUCAUAGGAAUUAGUUUUAUAUUUUUUGAAUAGAUAAUAAAAAAAUUCAUCAAAAUAAAUUAUACAAAUAAAUAGUUAUUUAGAAACAAUUCAUAACCGUAAAUGGUAGUUGAUCAUAUUAGAUAGUUAUUAAGGAUAGUUUAGAAAAAACAUAAAGCAAAUUUAUUUAUACCAAAAGCUUCCUUCCUUUUUAUAUCUAACUAUAUAAAAGCGGGAGUUAGACAAUGAACAGUCCAUUUUUUGUCAAGCGGUUAUCACGUAAUUUUGGGCAACUUUGAGGGCAAUUGUCAAGCGGCAUUUUGGUCUUCGGCCUUGUGGCUGGCUUGGCUUUAGGAAGAUUCGGUUAAACAUCAGAAUCUAUAUAAUAAAAGAGAGAGUUGGAGAAUGAAUAGUGAAUUUUGGUCAAGCGGUUAUGCUGCUAUUUUUGUGACUUUGAGGGGCGUUUUGGUCUUUUGGUCAUUGAGAAGCCUCGGUCAUCCUUCUGGUCAAAUGCUACGGUGAUGAAAUCUCAGCUGAAAACCAAAGCAUAAUAACGAAAAAAAAGAAAGGCAAAAAGCAUAACUUUCUAUGUAUCUGUACAAAGAGCAAUAAAGGGACGCAGCAGUUAAGCUUCUAAACUUGUAUAGAUUUUCUCUAAUUCAGUCAGAUAAAGCUCAAGAAUCAUACAAAUAAUCUGGGCUAAAAAUAAAAAUUGAUAAUCAAGUUGGAUUAAUAUAUUUUUUCUAAUUUUAUUCUGAGGUUUCACGCAUUUUUAUCUGUUUCUUAUUCUUGAUAAUCUGUGUAUUUGUUGGUUUUUCCCUUCUUCUUUUUUGCACAGAUUAAAACAUUUAAUCAAUAUAAUCACAACAAUUAUUUUUCUUUCAUAUUUUUGUAAAAUGCCGCUCAAUAAUAUUAGAUCAUUAAUCAACAUUAAGAGCCAUGUAUAAUUACAUUGUUUUUGAAAUUUACAGUACUUUAAUUUUUUUAAUGUAAAAAAAAAUCUAAUUAAUGUUGAGCGUUCUGUAAAUACACAAUUAUUGAGGAAAUAAUUAAUAAAUUAUUAUUGGCUUUAAUGACUUUAAAAAAUGGAUUUUAUUACUGCGACAUGAAAUAAAAAUCGUUUGGAAAAAAAUGAAUGCAUAUAUAUUGCAAAAAAAUGAAAUAAAAUAGUGCUCUGUAAAAUUGUUGAAUGCAGUGAUUGUUUAGCAUGUUCAGUAGUAGCUUUUGACUGAAUGAUUCCCAAAAGUUAAACAGCAGUAAAAAAAAAAGAAGUCCAACAUUGUUAUCACAAUUAACCAAAAUCGGUUAAGGUGUCAUGGACUAGAAAUGGUUUCUAAUCCUACUACUUUUUAAAACAUACAACUAUAAAGAUAUAUUAGUCUAGAUAUCCAUAUUACUCUAUAUAAUUAUUACAAAUUUUUAAUGCCCUUGUUUUUAUUCUUAUUUUUCGUUCUAUAGAAAAGAAUAAUUAAUAUGUUAUUUACUAAUAGUCCGGGCUAGGGCUGCAAACGAGCCGAGCCGAGUCGAGCUUUGAGCUAAUCGAGCCGAGUCUCGACUAAAUUUUACCAAACUCGAGCUCGAGCUCGAGCUCGACGAGCUGGCAAAUUUCGAGCUCGAGCUCGACUCGAAUCAAGUCGAGCCGAGCUCGAGCUCGAGCUCGAGCUCGAAAAAAAAUAAAAAAUAAUUAUUUUAUUUUUAAAAAAAUAAAUAAAAUAAUAUUUUUUUCUUAAUAAAUUAUAAAAUAUUAAGGAUAUAUACGUAAUUUUACUAUGAAAAUAAAAAAAUAAAAAAAAAUAUAUAUAAUAUACGUAAUUUUAUUAUUAAAUAAAAAUAAAAAUAAAAAAUAUAUAUAUAUACCCAAGCUCGCGAGCCGGCUCGCGAGCUAACGAGCUUAAUAUUCUGAGCUCGAGCUCGAGCUCGAGUUUGACUCGAGCCGGCUCGAGCUCGACUCGAGCUCGAUUAAUAGCGAGCUCGACUCGAGCUUGACUUGAGCCGCUCGCGAGCGGCUCGAUUCGUUUGCAGCCCUAGUCCGGGCAUCCAAUAACAAUUGCAGGAUAACCGCUUGACAAAAAAAUAUUGUUCAUGGGACAACUCUCGCUUUUAUAUUGUCAGAUAAAUAUCCAUAUUUAAUGUAUAUAUAUAAUUAUUAUAAAAUGUUUCCUAAUGGCUCUAAAUUUAAUGUGUAUAUAUUCAUUUUUCCUAAUGGCUCUAAAUUACUCUAAAUUGAAAAGCAAUGUUGUAUGCUAUUUUUUAUUAUUCUUUUAGUCAAACAUGCAACAUUAAUUACAUUGUUUCUUACAUUAAAAAAAUUAAAGUACUGUAAAUUUCAAAAACAAUGUAAUAAUACAUGGCUCUUAAUGCGGAUUAAUGAUCUAAUAUUAGUGAGCGACAUUAUACAAAAAUAUGAAAGAAAAACAAUUCUUGUGAUUAUAUUGAUUAAAUGUUUUAAUUUGUGCAAAAAAAAAAAAAUAGGCCCAUAUUUAUAGAAUUUAGUGAGUAAUAGAGAUAUACAUAAAUAUAAAUGGGUAUCUUUAUAAUUACCUCACCCAAACCACAUAAUUUAUACAAAUCAUACCACACAAAAUGUUGACACUGCAUUGUCUCAAUUAUAGUACUUUAUUAACUAUUAUAUUACAAAAUAUCCUUCAUACUUCACAAACUAUUAACACUAUAUUCACCCAACCAAUUUACCGCACUAUUAUUUUAUAAUUCAAGCCAAACUUAUACUACCUAUAUAAUUCUCUAUACUACAACAAAUAUACAAUAACUAAAACUUGUGCAACUUAACACGGGAAAUAUUCGCCCUCCUGCGCAACGCGCAGGCCGUCCUAACUAGUUGCUAUAUAAAAGCGGGAGUUGGACAAUGAACAGUCCAUUUUUUGUCAAGCGGUUAUCACGUAAUUUUGGGCAACUUUGAGGGCAAUUGUCAAGCAGCAUUUUGGUCUUUGGCCAUGUGGCUGGCUCUGGCUUUAGGAAGAUUCGGUUAAACGUCAGAAUUGCCGAUGCUAUUUCAUUGAUUCUCUUUUGCUGGAAAAAGACAACAAUUAUUAAGAUGGCUCUUGGCAUUAUAUUUCAAUAAAAAAGGUCUGGCUCUGGCUGAGGCUUGUUAGCUGUAUUAUUGUGCUAUGUGGGCUACAGGGGCUAGGACUCACAAAAGAGAGCUGUACCUGUACGCUCUCUAUUGCAAGUAAUACUCCAGGCCUUGUUUUAGAGCUCUGCCAUAUGCCCUUUUAUCUUCUCCAAUAUCAACCCACCCCGGGCCGCCUCACCAAGAAAACUAGAAAAAAGAAAAAAAAAAGAAGAAAUUCUCUCUCAGGCUCUCCAAUAUAUAUAUAUAUAUAUAUAUCUAUAUCUAAAUAUAUAGAAGGGAGAAUUGGAUAAUGAAUAGCUCCGUUUUGGUCAAGCGAUUAUACUGUAAUUCUUGAGACAGAGGGAAAAAAUAACAAGUCCAACAUAUAUAAGUAAGCAAAAUCGGUUAAGAUGCCAUAGGUUUUCAACUAAAAAUGGUUUCUAAUUCUAUAGCUUUUUCAAACGUACAAUUAGAAGGAUAUAUAUUAGUCUAUAUAUACAUAUUUAGUCUAUAUAAUUAUUGGAAAAAUUUUAAUUCCCUUAUUUUUUAUUAUUAUACUUUUCAUUCUAUAUACAUAUGGGUUAAAAACAAAAAAGCCCCCUGUGCUAAACCUAAUAUACAAAUAAGCCCCCUAUGGUUUCAAAAUAUACAACGCGACACCUCGUGCUUUGAACUAAGUUGUAACAGUGACGGAAAUCGGUAAAAUUAACGGGACUGAUGUACUGGAAGCUAAAAACAAAUUCUUUAUACUUAAUUUUUAGCAAAUAUUCCUAUUGUACCCCUUAGCCCCCAAUAAAACAUUGCACGCGCCAUCUAUAUAUAUGGAGUGAAGAGUAUCAUUACAUCAUUUCCCUUUCUCGUUCCAGGCUAGAAGGGGCUUUAGAAGCCAUCUCUUUCAUCUGCAUUUAAGCCAAGUCAAAAUUUCUUCCACGUUGGAGAAUCCGGCAUGCGAGUGGUAGCACAUUAGACUCACUUAAUGGUACUCAAAAGGAGUUCAAAUUAAGAUUUCAAUGACUACUGGUGCAUCGAAGCCUGUGUCCAACAAGAUAAUGAAGCAGCUGAACUUUGCAACAGUUUCAAGAAUGUCCACAGCUUCACAGUAACAGCAACCGGAGAAAUUAAAGAGACGGCUACUAGGAGUUCAGAUGUUCUCUGAUUUUACAACUGUGCUUGGAACGGUUUGUUAGAGCAAGUAGAGGUCCACCGUGCCAGGAGCAUAAAGCAGGGACUAGACUUUCAACUUUCCAUCAAUUACAAUACGCGGGGAAAAAAAACCUGCAAGAAGACGUCAAUUUGGACAUUAUACAAGAAAACGUCAAAAAAAUCUCGCUUUCCCUCUCUCUCUCUCUCUCUCUCUCUCUCUCUCUGUAGGGUUUGAAGGGAAGAAAUGAGUCCGUUCAAUUGCCUUUUGGGUAUUAUACAAGGGCAUUUUGGUCCUUUCAUCAGUUCCUGUUAAUUUUACCGAUUUCCGUCAGUGUUACAACUUAGUUCAAAGCACGAGGUAUCGCGUUGUAUAUUUUGAAACCAUAAGGGGCUUAUUUGUAUAUUAGGUUUAGCACAAGGGGCUUUUUUGUUUUUAACCCUAUAUAUAUAUAUUCUAUAAACAUGAGCUUACUUUUGUCUUCUAUGUGUGCUACAUUAUGAGUCUAUUUUCUUUUUAAGAGAAUAAUUAGUUUGUUAUUUUAGUAAUAUAUCCAUGUUUAGUGUAUAUAUAAUUAUUAUAAAAAAUUUUUACAUAUUUGUUUUCUUUAAUAGCUCUAAAUUGCUGUAAAUUGAAAAGCGAUAUUGUGUGCUAAUCUUUUUAUAUUAUUUAUUUAAACAUGUAACAUUAAUUAGACUAUUUCUUACAUUUGAAAAUUAAAGUACUCUAAAUUUGAAAAAUAAUGUAAUAAUACAUGUCUUUUACUGUGGAUUAAUGAUCUAAUAUUAAUGGAAAAAGAAAUAAGCCUAUAUUUAUUGAACUUAGUGAGUAAUAGAGAUAUACAUAUCUAACAAUAUAAAGGAAAAGUUGCCCUAUGCACAGUAGUUUUUUUUGUCAAACGGUUAUCUUGCAAUUGUUAUUAGAUGUUAGGGCUAUUUUCAUCAAUUAUUUGUUUGUUUUUUAACAGCUGCUGUAGUUUUGGUAUAUUUAUCGGACAUGUUGACUGAAUUCAUAAUUGGUGGUAUAAAAAGUGAAACCUAUGAAAGUUGAUUUUUUGUGGUUAAUUAUUUGCUUUUGAAGUGUUCUGGAAAUGCAAAAUUACUAAGGAAAUAAUUGAUAAAUUGUUGUUGGCUUUAGUGACUUUAAAAAUGGAUUUUAUUAUUGUGACAUGAAAUAAAAUUGAUAAAUGUUCUGUAAAUGCACAAUUAUUGAGGAAACAAUUAAUAAAUUAUUGUUGGGUUGACAUAGAAUAAAAUUGUUAAUUGUUCUAUUGAGGAAAAAAUUAAGAAACUAUUGUUGGCUUUAGUAACUUUAAAAAAAUGUGUUUUAUUAUUGUGACAUGUGGUGAUUAAUUUUUAGCAAUGUUAAGUUCUAUGGUUCAAGUGUUUAAUUGAUUUUCAAGAUCUCCUAUUUUUUGUGUCAAUAAUGAUUAAUACUCUUUGGGAAUGAUUCACUUUAUAAUUUUCUAAUUAUCCUGAUCCAAAUGCAAAAUAACCUUAUACAAUUUUCUAAUUUAUCCUUAUGCAUUCUAUAUAUUAUUGUUCUCAUGCAUUCUAUAUAUUUCAUAAUAGUUAACUUUUAACAAAAAUUAUAAUUCCCUAAUGAUCCGCAUGAAUUAAAUAAUAACAGAGAUAUAUACUAAUAAACUCAUACAAUAAAAAAUAAUUAACACGGGAUAUAUUAGUCCUCCUGCACAACGUGCAGGCCGUCUCACUAGUAUAGUAUAAUAUAGACAGAAGAUAGAGAAGCUGAUAAAUUUGUCUCUAUUUUAAUUUUUUAUUGUUAUUCUAUUUUCGAAUGCUAAUUUUCAUUCUUCACAUAAUUUUUGAUCGCGUCUUAAAUUGUUUAAUUUUUUACUUUGGAAUCCGUAGUAAUCUCUUAUGAACAAACCUUUCUUCUCUUAUUAAUAAAGCCUUCUCCGCCAAAAUCUCUGACUCUCCCACCAUCAAUCCACUGGCCCUUUCUCCCUCUCUUUGCCUCUGCUUCAACAUAAUUCAAUUUUUCCCCUCUCUCUACUUAAAUGAAUAUUUUUUUUCCCUACAUUUCAGCCUCUAUAAGUAGAAUGAAUUCAGAAUGGAGUCGACGGUGUGCCACUACCGGAAGAAGUCGGUGGAAAUCCUCGGGAGGAAGUAGGAGAGGGUAGCCAAUGCGCUUUAUGAAUUAAUAGGAUUCGGUAGUGAUUCUGAUGAUCCUAAGCCUGGCAGCGAUUUUGAUGAUCCUAAGACUGGCAAUGAUUCUAAUGAUCCUAAACUUGUUUUACCUGAUCUUGAUUUUGCGCCUGCUGAUGAACACGUCGUCAAGUUUAAGUCUAUUGAUUUUAAGCCUAUUGGUGAGUGCAUCCGCACAUGCGCCUCCCAAAUACAUGCUUCUCAAAUCACAUUGCAAAUUUUCGCCUUAUUUGCUUAUUCACAAAUGUAAAGAAGAAUCUUAGGGAUUUUUUCUUUGUUUUAUUUUUGUAGCCUUUAUUAAUCUCUUAAGUAGAGAAUUUUCAAUCAUAAAAUAGUUAUGCAUUUCUGUAUUGUAGAUUGAGCUUAGACUACCACAACGCUUGGCUUUACUUGCAUAUCUGCAUACGGCCUAUGCUUCCUAUCAGAUUCCUUACGACGCAUUCAUUAGCUUGUUUGGAGUAAGUAUCCAUGACUUUUCACCUUAUUAUCCUUCCAUCACACAUAGCCGAUGUGCUCUAAUACCACUUGUCAUGAGCUGCUUAAUAUCCUAUAAGCACACACGCCGUGUAGCACUAGCAAGUGUUGUAGCGCCCCAUUUUUUUGAAAAAAUAAUAAAAUCUAUGGUAUUUAGAUGUUGAAAAAAUGAAAUUUUGAUUUGGAAAAUGAGUUUUAGAAAAUAAACAAAAGAAAAAGGGCCUAAAAUAAGACUUAAAAAGUGCAACGAUUUUGGCCCAAAACAGUAGUCUAAAAAGUGUUUUUAAGAAAAACAGGAGUCGCCACUUGUUAUUGAAUUUAAAGUGUACCAAGUCACCUAAAAAUGUAUUUUUAAUAAAAUAGAUAAAUAAAUAAAUAAAACCCUUUUUAGACGACUCCAGGUCUUCAAAAACAAGAUAAAAGAGUUCGGGAGUCACGGUUGAAGAAAGAAAAGACAAAGAUUUGAUCUAAGGCACCCUUUCAACCUAGCCAAGGUUAGUUGGAUGAUUUAGUUGAAAAUUUUCUUAAUUUAACCUACAAAAUUUAUCACAUUUGGAUGUUACUAUAUGGAUGUAAAUGUAGACCUAAUGGAUAUCGGGAGGAUCGAAAUAUCUCUUCAGAGUUUAAUUGGUAUAAAUCACAUUAAUUAUGAUGCCCAAUAAUGAUUCUUAGAAAAGAUCACGAAUAUGCAAAGAUGAGACUCAAAGAAAAAUUAUAAUAUAUAAAUAUACGCGACCUAAAAAAGACGAAUGCAACAUAACGAGUAUGGAGAACUAAGAUUCGUGACUCAAUUUUCCUUCUUAUAGAGGAGAUACGGGCAUGCUAAAACUAAGAAGCCAGACUUGUCCAUUUCCAAUAUUUGAAGGGCGACUCUCCUAACGUAAUCAAGCAAAUAGGCUAACCUAUUUCUAUUUUUCUAAAUGGGAUGCAAGUCUAAAUGUCAUGUUUCGCGCACAUAGGGAUAAAGGGAGGGGUAAUAUAUAAAGAAAAUAUCAUGCAGGAUGAGAAAAGAUCAUAAAAGUGAAAGUAUGCAUGAAGUGUAAUAAAUGUCAAGCAAAGUAUGAAUUCUAGUGCAAAAACGGCUUAAGGGGUCUAGCAUUGGACUAACCCAUUUUUAUAAGUCUCCACUAGUAUUGGACUAGUGAGAAAUCGGAGAGAAAGGCCACAACUAGCGUUGGACUAGUGUGGUGACGUCAUGCAUUUAUUAGAACUAAAUAAAUCAUAUAAAACAUAAUUAAAGCAAGUAAACACGUAAAACACAUAGAUCACAUAAUACAUAGGCAUGAUAUCUAGAUGAAAAUCCUAAUGAAAGCGAAUAAACACGUAAAGACACAAGCAUGCAAGCAUACAAGCAAAUAAAAGCCUAACUAUUACAUUCGGGGCCCUAACUACAAUCUAAGGGGGGAAUAAUAACCUAAUUAUUAUAUUUAUCUAACUAAAUAUAUUUUUAGAAAAAAUUAAAACCUAUCUAUUACAUAAGCUAGCUAAAUACAUGUCUUGAGCACCUCUCAAUUACAAUUUGGCAUUUUAAUGCCUCUCAAAUAAUCAUCAAAAUUAAAUAAAAUAAAUGAAACUUAAAAUGAAUAAUUAAAAUAAAAGCACUCAAAAUAUACAAUUACACAUAAAAAACAUUGGAGCACGUAAAAGAAUUUAAAAUAAUAAAAGAGAUUACCUCCCUUAAAAUGGUGAUUAAAUGGGGUGAAAUUUAUCCUAUUUAUGCUUCAAAAUAAACAAAAUGAUCAAGGCAAUAAUUUAAUUAUAAAGAAAUGGAAAUAAUCAUGAAAUCUACCAAUUAAAGCACUUAAAUGAAGUAUAAUUAAAAUUAAAAAAGAAAAAAUAACUUAUAUUUAAGAAAUCAAAACUGUUAGGGAUCUAAUUGCAAAAAUUGAGAAAAUUUUAUAGGUCAAAUUAUUAUUAUUGCAAGGAUUAGGGGUCAAAAUUAAAGAAAAAUAAAGUUUAGAGACCAAAUUGCAAUUAAAUUAUGGACCUAAUUGAAAUAAAACUAAAGUUUUAGGGUUUUAGUAUAAUUAAUGCAAAGUACAUGGACUAUUCUGCAAUUUAUGCGUCAGAGUUUCUUAACAAACCAAGCCAUUAAUCUUAUUAGGGUAAAAUACACGGAACCCCCCUAUCGUUUAGAAACAUACACAUAAACGCCCUAAACUUCAUAACUAAAGUGGAAAUAGACUUCUUAACCGGCUGAGUUACCGGCUGCAGGUCGAAUACCCAAAAUAUCCUCAUUUAUAAUAGAGAGGGAGAGAGAAUGAACAACUGACUCUUUUCUCGUUCAUCCUGUGUAAGAAAAAAAAAACCCUAAGACAAGGGAUUUGUAUACUAAAUUGUUGCUGAAAUAUCGUGAAUCUGAGUUGAAAAAGCCGUGGCUGCAUUCGAUCGCGAAGAAGGGAGUGACAGAUUGGUGGUUGUAUCUGAUUGUGAAGCUGCAUUUGGUCGCGAAGAAGGGAAAGACAGAUUGGUGAGGAAAUCUGAUCGUGAAACUUGUUCGACAUUUCUAGGUAAGAAUAAGAACUUAUUGUUCAAUACUCAGUCCAUUUAAUGUUUAGGAUUUGUAAUCCUUUUCCAAUUUGUUUAUUCCUUUUCCACAUUACCCCACAUUACCCCAUAUCUGUCAUUUUUAUAGUUGGUGGUCCAUAUUUAGGUGAUUUAUCAGAGAAAAUGGGGUUUAAAAAUAUAAAGAUCUUAACUUUUUUAGCUUUUUUUUGGAGAAUGUGGGUCUUUUUUGGAGUAUGUGGUUGAUGUCAGGAGGAAAUAAUAUGUGUCGGGUUUGGAUUUGACUACAAAUCAGAUUUUACUUAAUAAUCUGAUUGUUGUUAUAAUCUGAAAGUGUGAUGUAGUUUAAUAUAGUUUAUUAAUCUAUAUUUGAAUUCUAAAAGUGUUGAUUAAAUAAUUUAGGUUGGGGAUCAUUUCAGAUCCUUUUAGGACAGUGGAUAUCCACAUGCACUAUGGUGGGCGGUUUAUACAUCAUCCCAAUAUUAGGUAUAUAAGUGAUUUAGUGAGAGUGUUUCACAAUUGCGACCCUGAUGAGUUAUCAACAUUUUCAUUAUUCAACCUGUACUCCAAAAUUGAAAAAGAAGCGGCAUGUGCAAAAUUUUGGUAUUCCAUUCCAGACCAUGAUGUGGAUGUAGGUGUUAUCCCAAUAAAUGAUGACGUGGACAUAGAAUUGUUGACUACCUGUUAUGAAGGGCUUCCUUAUAUGCAUAUAUAUGUAGAGGCAGGUCAAAGGCCUCUCAAAAUUAUCUCACUAGAUAGUAAGCUCUUAUUCGAAAGAGUGACGAAUGAUGGUCCAUUUGCUUUACCGUACAAUGAAGGUUCUUUAGAGAUAAAUUCAGAUCUGACUAGAAAAGGUGCUGGAGCUUCACAAAAUCCUGUUGAUCUGACUGGUUUUGAACCAUAUAUUGGUGAUACAAGAGGGCAAGAAAAUGAUUUAGAUGGCCCAAUUGCUGUAGAAACUAAUGAUGGCACACAAAAUUCCUUCGAACCAACUAAGAAAAACAGAAGAAAGGGUGGUAAAACUCCAUCGAGGAAGAGACAAAUUGUCGUGCAACCUGUGAAGAGAGCAGCUAGAAAAACUGUCAGAAAAUUAUUUCAGCAAACAACCAGAAUAGAUGCUGUCGACAGCCAACAAGAGGUUUCUUCAGUGAACCAAAGUAAAGAAGAAUGUGAAAAUCAAUGUAACUUUGACAGAACCUCUGUUGAGACCAAUCAAGUCAACAAUGAACAACAUUGUGACUUUGACAGAACCUCUGUUGAGAAGAAUCAAGUCAACAAUGAACAGCAGCACCAUAGUGAUGGAAACGAAGAACCUAAUCCGGAUUGGUUGAGAGAGGGUCUAGAAUUUGCAGAAGAUGAGGACAUCUUUGCAACUGCUGGUUCAACUGUACCUCAAACAAAUCAGCAAAUUGGUGACUUGAAUAAGCAGCAGCAACAACAUCAGCAACCACAAGGUGAGGAGUCCACAGCACAGCAUCAACAAACUGAAGACUUGAAUAAGCAGCAGCAACAACAACAUGAGGAAGCACAAAGUGAGGAGUCCACAGCACAACAUCAGCAUGGAGGAGACCAACCUAUUGGCCCUGACAGUGAGGAAUGGAAUGAACCUGUGACUGCAGAUGAAGACUUCCUAUAUUCUGGUGAUGAAAAUGGGCCUGACUACUCAUAUUUCAAUGCUUCGGUGGAGUUUAACAAGCCAAAUUUUAAAUUAAAGAUUGGGAAGAAAUUCACUCAUUUUACAAAAUUUAGAGAAGCACUUGUGGAAUGGAACAUUAGAGAGGGAUACGAAACUUUAUAUAUCAACAAUGACAGUUGGAGGAUAGCUGCCAAAUGUGCAAAAGGAUGUUCUUGGAGGAUUCAUGCAAGCAGAGUUAAUAGGACUGACACUUUUCAGAUCAAAACACUAAAGGGAGAGCACCAUUGCGGCAGAGAGUACACUAACAAGCAUGCAACCUCAACUUAUCUGAGCAGAAAGUUUCAAGAGAAGGUUCGAGAUGACCCUAAUUGCAGCUUGGAUGACAUUAUUAAUGAUGCCAGAAGAAGAUUCAUGGUUAAUAUAAAUAGCAAAAAAGCAUACAUGACUAAGAGGAAGGCCAAGGAGGCAAUCAAAGGUUGUGAUAUGGAGCAAUAUGAACGGUUGUGGGAUUAUGCUGCCACGGUUAGAUAGUCAAAUCCAGACAGUCAUAUAGCUAUACAAAUAGACAAGAGGUCUAUUGAGGAAAGGGCAACAUUUCAAAGGCUGUUCUAUGGCUUGGGUGCUCUUAAAAAGGACUUUCUUGCAGGUUGUAGACCAAUCAUUGGCCUAAAUGGUUGCUUUUUGAAGGGGCCCUUUGGAGGUCAGCUGUUAGUAGCACUUGGAAGGGAUGAGAAUGACAAUAUGUUUUCCACAGCCAUUGCCAUUGUUGAAGCAUAAAACUAUAAUAGCUGGACUUGGUUUUUGAAGGAACUGAUUACUCAUAUUGGAAGGGGCAAUGUAGUGCCUUAUACCUUCAUUUCUAACAGACAAAAAGGACUGGUACAUGCUAUAGAGGAGCUAUUUCCUGGUGCAGAACACAGAUUUUGCCUUAAGUAUCUGUUUGAGAAUUUUAAGGCAAAGUUCAAAGACAGUGAACUAAGAGAAUUGUUUUGGGGUACUGCAUCAGCAACUAAUGGUGAUGAUUUCAAGAAAGCAUUGAAUGCUUUGGAGAUAGCUCAGCCACAAAAUGGAGAAAACCUUACUGCUGCUGGCUGGUUAAAAAGGUUGCCAUAUCACUUGUGGUCUAGAGCACAUUAUGGAAUGGCUGCUAAGACUGAUAUUUCAGUCAACAAUCUGAAUGAGAGUUUCAACAACUACAUUUUAAAAGCAAGAGAUGAGCCAAUUGUGACUCUUCUUGAAUUUUUCAGAAGAAAGUUAAUGCAACGAUUGACAUUGAAGAGGCAAGACAUGGAGAAAUAUGGAGGUAGAUUGUGUCCAAACAUUGUUGAGAAGCUAGCCAAAAGUGUAGAGAAGAGCAGACAUUGUAUUGCUGUAUUUGAUGGUAUUGAAUCAUUUGAGGUUGAUGGUUUCAACAGAACCUCCGUUGUGAACUUGCAACGUAGAAGCUGUUCAUGUGGUGUAUUCCAGUUGACUGGAAUUCUAUGUGUGCAUGCUAUUUCUGCCAUUCAAAGCAUGCGGAUGAAUGUUGAAAACUAUGUCGAUGAGUGCUAUAGUAAAGAGGCAUACUUGAGGGCAUAUGCUUAUUGCAUUGGAGCUGUUCCAUCCAAAGAACACUGGAUUGAUAGUGGAAUGCAGCUGUUAAAUCCACUAUUUGUGAAGAAACAAUCUGGGAGACCUAAAAAACUUAGGAGAAGAGAUCCGGAUGAACUAAGAGAUCCACAAAGAGCUUCCAAAAAGGGUUGCCAGUAUACUGUAAGAGAUGUUUAAAAGUUGGCCAUAAUAGGAGAACUUGUAAGGAACCUCCUCAUCCAAAUCCAAGUUGUACAAGGUACAUUUAAGUACUUGAAUUUUUCUUGCAUUAUGUACUCUUGAUAAUUAUUUUAGCAGUAAAUUUUUUACUCUGGUUGCAGGCUCCAGCAAGCAAUACCCAACGAGGGGCAAGAACAACUUCCACUUCAGCCCCAACCAGAGAAGCACUAGUGCAUCAAGCAUCUCAGCAAAGAAGCACUGCUGCAGUUACUGAUAACAACCCCAGUUCUCGAUCCAAAAGAUUUAAGAAAAAUUAGGAUCAGGAAUGUUAUUUUUAGGACUUGUGUCCAUGUAAACAAGUUGUAAUGGUAUAUAUGCUAUCUUUAGAGCAGACAUUGUAUAAUGGAUUAACAUAUUUUGUAAGUGAUGCUCUUUUUUGUAAUGACAUUAUUGGCAUUAUUGCUCUUUUUUGUAAUGCCAUAUAUUGGAUUGUGGUUAUCAUAUUAUGACUAUCCAAAUUACAGUUGGUUCAUGAGUAAACAGGUUGUAUGGUUAUUAUCUUUCUUUCAGACAGGAAUACAAAUCAUGACAAAAUUUGGAAUUUUUUCAUAAACUAAAAUCAUUACAUUAUUUGGUACAUCAUUAUACUGCCACUAACCAAACUAUUAUUUUCUAUAAGCAGCAAUAACUAGAGAUAAACAACAAAUAAUAAGAGACAAAAUCAUUAUCACUUUCAACAUCCUCACAGUGCCUUCAACCGUGCUCAACUUUGCAUGUAGCCCCAACAAAAUGUCACCAUUGUUCACAGCCGGCAUACCUUCAUUACUGUUCACUCUUGGAGAGAACCCAGAACUUUCGUCUAAUCUUGUUUCUGGACUUUUACUAGUACAUUCAUUGCCCAUUCCAUCCCUUCUUAGAGAAUUGCACGAUGCCCAAAAGGAGUAGGAUUGAUCUUCACAAAUGUAAUACAGCCUACCUUUUGAGGGUUUGUUGGACUCCACGAUCUUGAUUUUUGCUCUUUUCUUGCAGAAGCACCGAGACCAUUCAUACCUUAGAUCUGUCAAACCUCCUCCAAAAUUUGCAGAAGUGGACAUGACGACUUCGAUAUACUCAGAAGUAGAUCUUCUCCCUUUUUCCUUUCACUCUUUGAUAGUUUCAAAUCUAUUUUCCCCUAAUAUGUAGUGCCUUCUAUAUAGCAACUGAAGGGUAGCUUGGGAAUGAAACUCACGAUCUUUUCAAAAGAAUCUCGCAGACCCAUCAUCAGUAGUUCGCUCAGCCGGUUAUAGGUCUAUUUCCACUUUAGUUAUGAAGUUUAGGGCGUUUAUGUGUAUGUUUCUAAACGAUAGGGGGGUUCCGUGUCUUUUCGCGAAACCAUAGGGGGGUUCCGUGUAUUUUACCCAUCUUAUUAAUGUUACCGUUUUGAUAAAAAAGAAAAAAAAAUCUUAUUAAUAAAGCCUUCUUCGCCAAAAUCUCUCACUCUCCCACCAUCAAUCCGCCGGCCCUUUCUCCCUCUCUUUGCCUCUGCUUCAACAUAAUUCAAUUUUUUCCCUCUCUCUACUUAAAUGAAUAUUUUUUCCCUACAUUUCAGCCUCUAUCAGUAGAAUGAAUUCAGAAUGGAGUCGACAGUGUGCCACUACCGGAAGAAGUCGGUGGAAAUCCUCGGGAGGAAGUAGGAGAGGGUAGCCAAUGCGCUUUAUGAAUUAAUAGGAUUCGGUAGCGAUUCUGAUGACCCUAAGCUUGGCAGCGAUUCUGAUGAUCCUAAGACUGGCAGUGAUUCUAAUAAUCCUAAACUUGUUUUACCUGAUCUUGAUUUUGUGCCUGUUGAUGAACACAUCGUCAAGUUUAAGUCUAUUGAUUUUAAGCCUGAGUGCAUCCGCACAUGCGCCUCUCAAAUACAUGCUUCUCAAAUCACAUUGCCAAUUUUCGCCUUAUUUGCUUAUUCACAAAUGCAAAGAAGAAUCUUAGUGUUUUUUUUCUUUGUUUUCUUUUUGUAGCCUUUAUUAAUCUCUUAAGUAGAGAAUUUUCAAUCAUAAAAUAGUUAUGCAUUUCGGCAUUGUAGAUUGAGCUUAGACUACCACAACGCUUGGCUUUACUUGCACAUCUGCAUGCGACAUAUGCUUCCUAUCAGAUUCCUUAUUCAUUAACUUGUUUGGAGUAAGUAUCCAUGGCUUUUCACCUUAUUAUCCUUCCAUCACACACAGCCGAUGUGCUCUAAUACCACUUGUCAUGGGCUGCUUAAUGUCCUAUAAGCACACACGCCGUGUGGCACUAGCAAUUGUUGUCGUGCCCCAUUUUUUUGAAAAAAUAAUAAUAUCUAUGGUAUUUAGAUGUUGGAAAAAUGAAUUUUUGAUUUGGAAAAUGAGUUUUAGAAAAUAAACAAAAGAAAAAGGGCCUAAAAUGGGACUUAAAAAGUGCGACGAUUUUGGCCCAAAACAAUAGUCUAAAAAUUGUUUUUAGGAAAAAUAGGAGUCUUCACUUGAUAUUGAAUUUAAGGUGUACAAAGUCACCUAAAAAUGUAUUUUGAAUAAAAUAAAUAAAUAAAUAAAACCCUUUUUAAACGACUUCAGGUCUUUAAAAACAAGAGAAAAUAGUUCGGGAGUCAUAGUUGAAGAAAAAGAAGACAAAGAUUUGAUCUAAAACACCCUUUCAACCUAGUCAAGACUAGUUGGAUGAUUUAGUUGAAAAUUUUCUUAAUUUAACCUACAAAAACUUAUCAUAUUUGGAUGUUACUAUAUGGAUGCAAACCUAGACCUAAUGGAUAUCGAGAGGAUUGAAAUAUCUCUUCAAAACUUAAUUAGUGUAAAUCACAUUAAUUGUGAAGCCCAAGAAUGAUUCUUAGAAGAGAUCAUGAAUAUGCAAAGAUGAGACUCAAAGAAAAAUUAUAAUAUAUAAAUAUACGUGACCUAAAAAAGAGGAAUGCAACAUAACGGAUAUGGGGAACUAAGAUUCGUGAUUUAAUUUUUCUUUCUUAUAGAGGAGAUGCGAGCGUGCUAAGGCUAAGAAGCCAUACUCGUCCAUUUCACAUAUUUGAAGGGCGACUCUCCUAAUCUAAUCAAGCAAAUGAGCUAACCUAUUUCUAUUUUUCUAAAUGGGAUGCAAGUCUAAAUGUCAUGUUUCACGCACAUAGGGAUAAAGAGAGGGGUAAUAUAUAAAGGAAAUAUCAUGCAGAAUGAGAAAAGAUCCUAAAAGUGAAAAGUAUGCAUGAAGUGUUAUAAAUGUCAAGCAAAGUAUGAAUUCUAGCGCAAAAACGGCUUAAGGGGUCUAGUAUUGGAUUAGCCCAUUUUACAAGUCUCCACUAGCGUUGGACUAGUGAGAAAUCGGGGAGAAAUGCUACAACUAGCAUUGGACUAGUGUGGUAACGUCAUACAUUUAUUAGAACUAAAUAAAUCAUAUAAAAUAUAAUUAAAGCAAAUAAACACGUAAAACACAUAGAUCACAUAACACAUAGGCAUGAUAUCUAGAUGCAAAAUCCUAAUGAAAGCGAAUAAACAGGUAAACACACAAGCAUACAAGCACACAAGCAAAUAAACGCAAAUAAAAGCCUAACUAUUACAUUCGGGGCCCUAACUACAAUCUAAGGGGGGAAUAAUAACCUAAUUAUUACAUUUAUCUAACUAAAUACACUUUUAGUAAAAAUUAAAACAUAUUUAUUACGUAAGCUAGCUAAAUACAUAUAUUGAGCACCUCUCUAUUACAAUUUGGCAUUUUAAUGCCUCUUAAAUAAUCAUCAAAAUUAAAUAAAAUAAAUGAAACUUAAAAUGAAUAAAAUGAAUAAUUAAAAGAAAAGCACUGAAAACAUGCAAUUACACAUAAAAAACACAUUGGAGCUCGUAAAAGAAUUUAAAAUAAUAAAAGAGAUUACCUCCCUUGAAGUGAUGAUUAAAUAAGGUGAAAUUUGUCCUAUUUAUGCUCCAAAAUGAACAAAAUGAUCAAGGCACUAAUUUAAUUAUAAAGAAAUGAAAAUAAUCAUGAAAUUUACCACUUAAAGCACUUAAAUGAAAUAUAAUUAACAAUUAAAAAAGAAAAGUAACUUAUAUUUAAGAAAUCAAAACCGUUAAGGAUCUAAUUACAAAUAUUGAGAAAUUUUUGGGGCUCAAAUUAUUAUUAUUACAAAGAUCAAGGGUCAAAAUCAAAGAAAAAUAAAGUUUAGAGACCAAAUUAUAAUUAAAUUAAGGACCUAAUUAAAAUAAAACUAAAGUUUAUAGGGCUAUAAUAUAAUUCAUGAAAAGUACAGGGACCAUUCUACAAUUUAUGCCUCAGAGUUUCUUAACAAACCAGGUCAUUGGGCCAUCUUUAUUUCUUUUGUGGGCUAAAAUCACCUUAGCCCAAACGAAGUCCAUAAGAAAAGAGCGGGCUAAGUUUACUUCUUUUACUAAUCAAGCCCAAUCGACAGCAGUGGAUUUUAAACCUUCAAGCCCAUGUCAAAGACCCAACCAAAUUAACUAAAACCCACUUCCAAAAACCCAAACUAACUUAUUUUAUUAAAAACUCAACAUGGUAAAAAAUCAACUAAAAAUUACUUAACCAUAAUUAUAUCCUAAAAUCCAGAACUAAUCUACCCAAAAACAUGCUCAAAAUAUAAGAAAAAUGAUUGGAUUUUAAAAGGGUAAAAUUGAUUGUUUUUUCCAGAUUUUUGGGCCAUAAUGAAAUUAGGGAACAUGUCUAUGUCAAAUCCGACCUUAAAUGCACUUAAAAGUGGAUUUCGGCAAGAUUCCGACCAUAUUGGUCAAAAUUUUUCUGAAUUCAGGCAGGUUGAUCCGCCGGAAUCUUCAUUCUCUUUCUUCUUUUUUUUUUUUUCAUUUUUCUUUGUUUUGUUUGUUGUGAUUUGAUCUUUCAAAACUAUUUGGGUUAUGUUUUUAUUGUAUUUGUGGGCUAAAGAUUGGGCCAAAAGAAUUAUUUUAUUAUUGGACUUAUAGUUAAAACUAUUGGAUUUGUGUUUGGAGUUUUGGUUUGAAACCUCAUGCUUUUAUAUCAAAUUAUUCAUCAAUUUUGGUUUGGGCUUAGGCACUAAAAGCCCAGAACUAGCCUAGUUAAUAAGGGAUGGGCUUUGUAAUAUAGAUCAAAAGUUUGUUUUCCUUUUUUUCUUUUUCUUUCUCUUUUGUUUAUUAUUUCCUUGGUAAUUUUAGACAUUUUAUGCAUUUUUUUCUUUCUUUUUCUGGAAAUCGGUUGAACUCAAUGGAAUGUUGCUUGCUGAUUUGGGCCCAUGUAAAAAUAUAUUUAUGAUUUAGCCCCCAAUUUUUGCAUAAUUAUAAUAUGGCCCUAAAAAUUGUGUAAAUGAACACAUCACUCCCUUUUAAGUCUUGGCCUCCUUCCUAUGUUUCAUGCAUAUUGUUGGUAAAUUAAUUCUGAUUUUUCAAGUAAAAUUGGGGGAUUAAAUAACAUGAAUUAGUUUAGAUAUUCAAUUUUUGCAAAUUUAGAAAUUAAUGUGAAUGGUUUUGUUUAAAUGGUUUAAAGUUGUUUUGGGAUAGUUAAUUAGUGUAAAUCUGAUUGUGUCAUUAAAAUAGACUAGUGAAAAUCAUUUUUGUGGAAAAUGCAUUUUGGCCCCUAAUUUUAAAUAAAUUUGCACUAUUGUCCUAAAAGCUUUUGAUUUUUGCAUUUUAGUCCCCAAAAUUUUUUCUAUUUUUUUCUGAAAUUUCUCUUGAUUUCUUGAUUCCUUGUGCUUUGUUUGGAAUGCUGUAUUAUUAGAUGAAGUUUUGGUUCUUAUUCUUUAAUUGUUAAUUAAAUUGGUAUCUUGACCCCGUUUGUUGAUUUUUUUAAAAAGUGACUAUUUUCUAUCCUUCUCGUUUACCCAUUACUUCAAGAGAGGUACCCCCUAUUAUUCUUUAAGAUCUUCUUAUAUGCUUCUAUGUGUUUUUUAUUUAUUUUUUUAUUUUUUAUGUGUGAUUGCAUGUUUUAUGUGCUUUUCUUUUUUAUUUUUAUUUAUUCAUUUUUAUUAAUUUUAAAUUUUCAUUUAUUUUGUUUAAUUUUGAUGUUUGGUUUGGAAGUCAUUUAAGUAUCAAAUUGUAAUAGAUAGGUUGUAUCCUCUUGUCCGAGAAAUGUAUUUAGAUAGAUGAUGUAAUAGGUAGAUUUUAUUUUUUGAGAAAAUAUGUGAUUAGAUAGGCAAUGUAAUAAAUAGGUUUACUAUUUUCAAAAUUCCCCUUUUAGAUUGUAGUUAGGGACCCCAAUAUAAUAAUUAGGUUUUAUUUACUUGCAUGUUUGUGUGUUUAUAUACUUGCAUGUUUAUUUGCUUUUUCUAAGGUUUUGCAUCUAGAUAUCAUGUCUAUGUGAUGUGUGAUCUAUGUGUUUAUUUGUUUUAAUUAUACUUUAUAUGCUUUAUUUAUUUAUGAUGAGUGUAUGACGUCCCCACACUAGUCAAACACUAGUUGUGACUUUUAUUCCCCGAUUUCUCACUAGUCCAACACUAGUGAGAACUUUUAGAAAUUGGCUAAUCCAAUUUUAGACCGUUAGACUAUUCACGUGCUAGAUUUAUACUUUUUGUGACAUUUAUUGCAUUUCAUGUAUUUUUUUUUACAUUUUAGGUUCUUUUUAUUUGCGUAAUAUGUCCUCUUAUUCCCUUUCUCGAUCCCCCUAUAUGUAUAAAUCAUAUCAUUUAGACUUGUAUUUCAUUUAGAUAGCCUAGUCCAUUUGCUUGCCUAGAUCAGAUCAGAAGAGUCAUCCUUAGAAUAAGGGAAAUUGGCGAGUAUGACUUUUUAGUUUUAGCAUGCUAUUACCCUCUAUAAGAAGGAAAAUUGAGUCAUGAAUCUUAGUCUCCCAUAUCCGUUAUGUUGCAUUUCCCUCUUCUAGGUCAUGAAUAUUUUAUUUUUAUUUAUAAUUUUCUUUUUUGAAUCUCUUUUUUGCAUAUUCGUGACGUUUUCAAGGGAUCAUUUUUUGGGUUUUACAAUUAAUAUGAUAUGCACCAAUUAAAUUUCAAAGAGACAUUUUAUUCCUCUCGAUACUCCUUAGGUUUAGAUUUGCAUCCAUAUAGAAGCAUCCAAAUGUGAUAAGUUUUAUAGGUUAGAUUAGGAAAUUUUUUUGACUAAAUCUUGCAAUUAGUCUUGGUUAGAUUGAAAGGGUGCUCUAGAUCAAAUCUUUGUCUUCCCUUUUUUCAACCGUGACUUCCAAACUCUUUUCUCUUGUUUUCAAAAAUCUGGAUUCGUCUAAAAAAAUUUUUAUUUAAAAUAUAUUUUAGGUGAUUUUGUACACCUAAAUUCGAUAUCAAGUUGCGACUCUCUUUCUAAAAACCCUUUUUAUAUUAAUAUUUUGGGCCCAAAUCGUCGCAUUAUUUAAAGUCCCAUUUUAGACUCUUUUUUUUCCUUUUUUUAAAAUAAAAAACUCAUUUUAAACACACUUUCUCUUUUAUUUUAAAAAAUGGAGUGCGACUGAGAGAUGCAAAAUUGAAUUAGGUUGAAGCAGAGGCAAAAAGAAGGAGAAAUCUAGGGGAAAAGGGGUCGGUGGAUGGUCGGUGGGAGAGAGAGAUUUUGGCGAAGAAGGCCUUUAUUAAUAAGAAAAAAAAUGUUUGUUCAUAAUAGAUUACUACAGAUUCUAAAGUAAAAACUUAAACAAUUUAAGACAUGGUCAAAAAUCACGUGAAGAAUAAAAAUUAGUAUUCAAAAAUAGAAUAACAAUUAAAAAAAUGAAAACAGAGUCAAAUUUUUUGGUUUCUCUAUCUUCUGUCUAUACUAUAUAUAAAAGGGGAGAAAGCUUUUGGUGUAAACAAAUUCACUUAAUGUCUUUUUCUAAACUAUCCUUACUAUAAUCAACUGCCCAUUAUGGUUAUGAAUUAUUUCUAAAUAACUAUUUAUUUAUAUACUUUAUUUUGGUGAAUUUUUUAUUAUCUAUUCUCAAAAAUAUAAAACAAAUUCUUAUAUAAAUUUUCUAAAAAAUUUAAUAAUAUUUUCCUAUGAGUUGCACACACAUUAGUGUGUGCUUUGAAUGCUAAUUUACCAUUAUCUAUUUAUAUCUUAUCUAAAAAACUUCCCACUCGUACAUAACUAUCACUACACUCUGUUGCGAUUAACUAAUCCAGUAAUAAACAUUGCAUUGCCCUCCAAAAAUCUCUCUAAAUAAUUUUUUGUUCUAUAUCUUUUUUAUUAUUUACCUUUUUUUAAAAAUAUGCAUACACAUAGUGUGUGCCCCACCCACCGGUAUAAAUAAACAAGAAUUGGCAAGGAAUACAUCUAUUUAUCCCUUUGUUUGUCUUUUAUGGCAUUUAUUUUCUAUUUUUCCUGUGCGUCUUGCGAAACCUGGACCAGAUAAGCUACUUUUACCCGCAACUGGAUGCUUGCCUAUUGUAAUUAGUUUCUGAAACCUCAAUUCAACCCCAUUGGGACAGAUUAAAAUUGGUCAAAACUGGACCAAGCAGGACGGAUAUGACCUUGGUUUUCAGAUUUUCCCUUCUUUUGAUUUUUUUUGCUCUCAGAGUGAUUUAAAAAUGAAGUCCUGAAAUAGAUUUUCACAAUGAUACAAGCACAGAGAACCAUAAAGAAAGAUAAGACUCAUGGCAGAGGAAAAAAUUGUGAGAGGAAAAAUGAAAUUUCAGAUCUCUAAUUGUACUUUACUCCAAACUUUGGCAAUUCGCAAUAUGAGGCUCCUUAGCCUAAUUUUACAUUUUUAAUCAGACAAGCAAGUGAGAAUCGGCAUGCUUCCACCCAUUUAAUGUUAGUACGAUGAUUGAACGGUCUCAUCUUUGUCAGACUUGCAUUCAAUGUUUUCUUUAAUCUGUGGCAUAACUAGUCCUUUCCAUUGGCUUUUCUAUUGCAGCUGCUUUAACAGUCUGCUGCAAAUUACAUAGAAAACUUUGAUCCUUCAUUGCAUGUGAGUCAUAUAAUUUGUCAUGCACAUCGAACUUUAUCAUGGUCCUUGAAUAACGUGUAAAUUUGAAUCCAUCAGACAUUUCCACUGCCAAGACAGCUUAAGCAAGGUGAACAGCCUCAACAAGGUAAACUACAGGAACAAAUUAUCCUACCAAUUCUGGCUGGCUUUGACAUCAAUUCUUCAGAGUAUGAUUCUUUCGGAUUACAAUUGAAUUAGGCCUUUUUCUUUGUGCUGUAAUUACUGUUAUGAUAUCCAGUAUGGUUUCUUUGCUUUCCUCAAUUUUUUGGUAUGUAUGAAUAGCACAUUGUCAAAUUUCAGGUUUGACCUGCAACCUGAAGUCAUACCUCAACUGAUCACACCACUUCCACUGUGGCAUCCGGAGCUGAAGGAAAAGGUAAGGUGCAAGCCUUAAGUUCUUCACCAGCACAGAGUGAUUAAGAUUAACCUGGUUUCCCUAAAACCUAUAUAUUUGUUACAGCCAAUGUGGUUAAAUUCUGAAGAUAACAAUGAGCUCCUGUGUGAUGAUGGGAUAUGUAUUCUUACUAGAAGAGGAGAAGCAGCUAGGGUUUGAUUCUGGAAGCUUUAAAGGGGCCACUAACACUUUCUGAACUAGAGGUUUAUAUACGGAUCUCUCUUAUUAUGUGGUGUUUAUGGUUUGAAACUGAUGUUUGCUGUCAAAAAGUGAUUGCUAACUUUUUAUCCAUGCAGUUGUUUGAAAGUCCUAUCUUAGUAGGCAAAUGACCUGAAACUUGUGUGUCACAAUAGGCUGAGGCCUAGUCUGAAAUUAUGUUGCUCUAUGUGGUCUAUCAAUGAGUUCUGUUUUCAGGCACUGGUGGAGGAGAACCCUGUCGUUGCAGAUGGAGUUCUAACUAUGCUUGAAAAUUCUGCACCAAUUAAAGAGUUUGUUAGAGAUGUGGUUCAGAAAGCUGUCAAAAGGCGACUUGUGCCUGCUCAACAACAGGUUUCUAUUACUUUUAUCACUUUUUAUUUCCUUGUUGCGUGGUGUUUAAAAUGUAAAACAUGUUAGCUGCUUUUUAAGGUGAUUACUGAAGUCCUUAUAUAUGUGUUAUUCAGCUAAUCUUGUGCCUAUUGGCAAUUGCGCCGAAGUUUGUCAAUCACUGUGGACUGACGGAAGAAGAGAAAAAUGUACGUCAUUUUAUUGGCCUAUUGAUGAGUUUUAUUUGCUGUUGCCUUGGGCCUUGAGUAUUCUUAUAUUCUCUUAUCAGGAGCUGAUGGAGACUAUUCCUGUGAUUGCCCUCGACAUUCUACUUGAUCUUGCACAUUCACCUGACAUUGAACAGUAUGUCAGCGAUUUGAUUGACAGAGCUAAGCUUGAUCCUGAGGAAGCUAAGAAGAGGCCACUCCCACCUGUUGAUCAAGAGGUGUGUUUAUACCUUAACUACCUCUUUAUGUGAUGAGAAAUAUUUGAAACUUUUAGUUGCUCUUAAACAGUGAAGGCUGAGGUUAUUAUUUUUAUUUUUUGGUUAUCCUAUCCAGAAAUUCUUGGUUCAAUUAGCAUAUGUUCCAAGUCUGGUUCUUCGCUGUGGAUUGACAGAAGAAAAGACAACAGUAUGUUGUUAUAUAGUCUUAUCAGAGAGUGGCUGACUUCUAUGGGUAUUUCCAUGAAUGUUGAGAAUUUUUCUUAUUAUGUGUUUAGGGUCUGGCGAAGAAUAAUCCUGUCGUUGCAACUCAAGUAGUUGAAGCUCUUUCUAAGCUUGCACAAUUACCUCAAAAAGAAGAGUAUAUCUGGUGCUUCAUACUUUUCUGUUAUGCAAUCUUGAUUCAUACGCUGAUGUUACAAUCCCCCCCCCCCCUUCCUCUCCCUGUGCAGGAACUAUCUUACACUUGGCAGUGUGGAUGUGAGUUGUCAGGAAAUGGUGGCUAGCAAGCUUGCCUCUGGUGAUCUUAAAACUGGUUAUAAGAUUGUCAUCUUCAUGAAAAACUACCAUUCUUUCGCAAAGAAAAUCGAGGUAUUUGUUUCUCUACCCACUCUCCAUUUCCUCUUGCUUCUUCCCCUUAUAUGUGGUUGGGUAAUUUUAUGUGACUUAUGAUUAAUAUAUCUUAGUUCUCCCUUCAUUUUCGGGCCCAUCGGCGGUAGGGUGGUGUUGGUGUGUGAAGGGAAUGAUUGAUUAAAGGAUAAAAUACCAAAAAACUUCUUGUGGUUUGUUGAAUGUUUAAUUUAAUUUCCUCUAAUUUGAAAAUCUACACUAUAAUUUCAUGUGGUUUCAACUAAAUUGAAAUUAGACGGAAAUCAUCUAAUCCAACAGUUAUACGUGAAAUGUCAAUAUUGCCCUUAUAUAAAUGAACUCCCUAUGAUUUGUUGAAUGUUCAAUUUAACUCUCUCUGAUUUGAAAAAUUACACACUGACUCUCUGUAAUUUCGACUAAAUUAAAAAUUGAAAGAAAAGCAUUUCACGUAUAGUAGGAGUAAUAUAAACAUUUCACACACAGCCGUUAGAUUUGAUGUUUUCUGUCCAAUUUUCAAUUUAGUCAAAAUCACAUGAAGUUAUAGUGUAGGUUUUCAAAUCAGAGAGAGUUAAAUUGAAUAUUUGUCAAACCACCGGGAGUUUUGUGGUAUUUUACCCUUGAUUAAAUGAUGUGGUCGAUAUUCUGUAUUGUAUGUCUAUGUAUGGGGAGCUGUCUUCUGUAUCUCUCCAUGUUUUGUUUUUUCUUUUUUGAAUGUCAUGACUUUUUUAAAUAUCCUGCAGUAAAGUUGUCAUAUUCCAGAACUUAACCUAUUCUCUUCCUACCUAUAUAGAAAAAGCAUUUGUAAGUUAAUGGUGGAAGUUUUUUCUUCUGUCUUUCGGGGAAAUUUACGUAAAUUCAGAAAGCAGGUUUUUUAUUCCUUUUUGACUGCGAGAAUGCCUUAUGAGGGUAACGGUAUCCUCUUGUAUUUGCCAACCAUUCUCAAAACCUGUUAAUAUGAAGCCAUGCUGUUUUAUCAUUCAUUGAUUGUUGAUGAUCUUCUCGCAGUUGUGCACAGUUCAAACAAAUCUUUACAAUUUCUCACUACAUUUAUAUAUCUUCCUAAUAGCAUGAUUAGCAUGUUAUCUUGCUAGCUGUAAAAUUUAACAUGAUUAGCAUCAAUAGUAAUUUUCUGAUCUCUGACUACAUCAUAAGUGGUCCUACCAAUUGAUUUUUGGUUGCAAUAAAGGGGUGACAUUAUCAGAAACAAUGCAGGUAUAGGUAUGCCACCUUAAAGCAGACAGCAAUGAAAAUUUACUCUUCCUGAGAAAUUUUAUUACUUGCCACCUCUAACCAGCUGCCACCAUUAACAUAAUACCAAUAUCAUUGAACUAGAAGAAAAAUCCUUCAUAAGGCUUUCGAUUAUAUAAGCAUAUCGCCCAUUGGUAUUUCUAAGUACAGGUUCUACUUGUCUUCACUGGAAAGAUUACGAUCUUUUGUGUAUUAUAACACUCUCAAUCAGCAGCAAGUUCUCUGUUACUGAACUUUUCAGUCCUUUUCUUUUAUGAAGUUCUUUAUGCAAUUUUAAUCACUGUUUUUCAAGUACCUUUUGUGAGGAAUGUUUGUCUUUCAAGUACCUUUAACUAGAAAAAAAAUUUCCUCAAUGAUCAAGUUAUUGUUUUACUGAUCAAAUCUUACAAAAUGUUUGUUUUCAGGAAAUUUCAAACUAGAAGAGAGUUGAACUCCAUCAGUUCUUCUUAUAAGUGGAACUAAAACUUAUCAUGUUGGAUUUGGCUAACAAAAAAUUCCAUCAAAACUGGAACAACUUUGUAGUUGAACAUGGUCUUCAAGAAGGAGAAGUGCUUCUUUUCAUUCCACAAUCUUCUAUUUCUUCUGCUGUUGUAAUUUUCGGACAUGAUGCGGUUGAAAGAAUGUCUCCAUGGCACUACAAAUUUGGAGGCUGUAACAUACAACUUAGAUAAUGAAUGUUUCCAGUGUUUCUUGCUUCGCCUUGAUGUCCUCUUUUUUUUUUUUUAAUCUAAGUUCGGUUCGCAAUUGGUUUCUGCACCAGAUAGUAGUUAUCAAAUAAACUCCUACCCAAGACUGCAUGAUCCAAAAUUUAUUCUUCCAGGUUUUUGUCAGCAACUAAACUUACAUUCUGCAUAUUUAUUUCAAAUCUUUAUCGUAUACUUUGUAUGAUUGCAAACUGGGCAGGGCAUGCUAUCUUUCCACCACACUUCGCUGGGUUUAUGCCUUCUAGUUCUACUAAAAAAUAUGUAAAAGUUGCUCCUUGUUUUGGACGAAAUGCUUUUUUUUUUUUUUAGAUGAAAUGCUUGUUGAUCAUUGUAAAGUAUUUUUCUGCAAAUUUAGAUCUCAUAUCGAAAACAAUGAUGGUAGUAAUGCAAUUAAGUUUUACUGCAUAAUUAUCAUGACUCAAUCUACCUCAACUGUCAUCACUAUAUUCAAUUUUGACAGACAGACCAGCCGUUGUUGGUGGCCAAUCAUUAGGCAGCCAUCUCAUAUGCACCAGAGUGGUUUCUGGUAGCAUUACUGGUAAGCCUACCAUGGCACUUGCUUCUAACCAUACCCCGACUACUGAUGGUUCUGCCAGGAAUUUCAUUCUCUAGUACCCUAACCUAACCAUUCUUCACAUGCUGGUUGCCACCUCUAUAUAGGUUUAAAGGAUUCAACUCUUGAUGUUGGUGAACUAAUAAACAUAGCAAUAGCAGCGGGACUGGUGUUUUAUAAAAUCUCUCUUAUCAAAUCUUAACCUGCAUGUCCAAAUCUUUUAUUUAAUCCUAUGGAUUAAUAUUCGUGUGGGUUUUAACUUUCAUUACCUAAUCCUCUUAUUUCAGAUUUGAAUUAUCCAUCAGAUACUCUCUAUCCGCUAAUCUGAAUAAUUCAAAAAUAGAGAAUUAGCUUUUAUCAAACUAAAAUCAAUACACAUCUUGUUAAGUUAACAAACUAUAUUGAAUUUUAAACUUAACAGUAGAGAAAUUCAAUAGUUUAUGAAGGGUAAAUUUAAUGGCCAUAAAAAAAAAGAUUCAAACAACUAUCUUACAUUUUUUAACAAAGAGAACUAUUUUACAUUUUUCAACAAAAAGUUGUAAGUAUUGGAUUUUUAGGAUUUUCUUAUCAAACCCUACGAGGUUAUCCAUCGGUAAUCCCUCCUUAAUAUCAAACCUAACUUAACGAAUUACCCAUCUGUCAUCUAAUCGAAUUAACCAUCGGAUCGAGUACUCGCAGGUAUGAAUUUUAUCCUACCCACUGCCAUCCUAGUUAAGCAUCACAGUGCAUGUAAACUUGUUGCCAUUUUCUUACAGAUUCUGUCCUAGAAUAAUAUGCAGAACACAUUACGAGACAAGAUGACGAGAACAUCCUUCAAUAACUCCUACCAGAUGAAUGUACACGACAUCCAAGACAAAAAAGUCCCACACGGCAAGAGGGAAGCAUGCAAAAUGGGAAAAAGCAAAGACCAAACCGAUGAGUAUUGUUAACAACAAGAAAAUUAGUUGGACGGUAGUGAGUAUCGUGACGGGUGAACCUAGCCUAUAUUUGGUGCCUAGACAAUGGUGGAUCAACAAGGAGGUGGAAGCUUAGAAAUUGCAAAUGGUUGAUGUGAGAAUCUCAAAUUGCUUGCUUGUAUUGUCGUUAGGGUAGCAAACAAAUCGAAAAACUUGCGUCCGAGUUUGACUCGAGUCCAAUCAACAUCGAAAUCGAAUUAAACAAGUAGAACUCGAGAUCAAAAUACUAAAUUCGUUAACUCGCGAACCGACUCGAGAUCGAUUAUAUAUAUUUAUUUAUAUUUUUUAUUUUAAUAAUAAAAUUACAUAUAUAUUUUUAAUAUUUUAUUAUUUGUUAAGAAAAAUUAUUAUUUAAUUCAUUUUUUAAAAAUAAAAUAAAUAUUUUUUUAUUUUUUUGACCUCGAGUUUGAGCUUGACAUUUUGACUUCGUUGAUCUCAAGUUUCGAGUUUCGUAAAAUUAUGUUAAAAUUCAAUUCAAUUAAAGCAAAACUCGACUCGACUCGUUUACGCCCUUAAUUGUCGAACACUUCUUGAAUGACAAGUUCUUUCGAUCUUGACUCGAAACGAAGAUCAUUUUUUGUAGUAGCAUUACGAUCCUUGCAUUGCAUGAGGCUUUAUUGUUGUAAAGAAUUAAUUAGCAUGUUCUCCUCAUCAUUUUCAUCCAGAAUUUGUGGCUUCACAAUGUGAUCCCCUUUUGUCCUUCGUUCUUACCCAGCAUAUUUUAUUGUAAGUGACCCAUCAUAAUAAUAAUAAUAAUAAUAAAUGAUUCUUUAAACCCUUCAAAAAAACAAACGUGGCCUCCUAUGGAUUUGAUUGUUUUCAUACCGAUAAACAAAGUUCUUUGUGUUGCAAAAAGUAGCAAACUUGAAACAAGUUGCGUAGCCUCCGCACUAAAGCCUUUUUUUUCUUGCCAAAAAAGCACCCUUCCAACCUAAAGAAUCACUCCUGCACAAUAUGAAGCCAGUCCGCGGUGAGCAUACGACACAGUAGCUUUAGGUCGCAACGGAGAAUACUGAUAUUGAAGAUUUUGACUUCCAACGACGUCAUCUGCCCUUAAAUGGCCCUCACCUUCGUGACUUUCAACAGGCGAAUAUGUCACAGUGUAUCAUCUUUUCUGUUAAUUCAAAGGAGAAAUUUAGGAUACAGUGAAACCAAAAAGACAAAAAAGAGGACAGGGUGCAACUGUUUACUUCUGUGAAACACCUAAAAAUCUGCACUAAAAAUUUCACACGAUACCAAAGGCCAGCAAACCUUGCUAAUGAAAGAGAAAUGGCCUCUAAGGAUGAAAAAAAUCAAACAGGAGGCUGGCAGCCAACCUACCAUUAACAAAUAUCCUAAAUCUAGCACACCUCUUAUAUCCUAGAGCUAUAAAUGGUACAAUCAAACUUAGUA
rnacentral:lncRNA from 1 species